GUCCUCUCACUUCCUUUCCGUGAUCGUGUGUUGUGGUUGUCGUGUGUGUUGUGGAGGCGGCACACUUAAAGUUUCAAAGAUUAAGCCCUUCAGAAGGAUAGUAGCAGAUAAGCAGCUAUGUGAACGUCAUGGAGAGCUGAGUACUUGUUACACACCAUUUAGGAGUGUUUUUGCCGGAUUAUUGCCUGACUGAUUGUUGCCUGAGUGCCAGUCAGAAAUAUCGGAUGUUUGAGGUAUUGUUUUAUUAAAGGGAACUUUUAAUAAUGUUUUUUCCAUCUGUGCAUAAUUUAUAUUGGGUUUUAUUUUGUGUUUUUUUUGUACAUUGUAUAUAAUUCCGUGUUGUAAUUAAUUGUGUUUUCCC